AAGACCCAGCACACCCAGCCAAGGGUACUUUAACCCAAUGGCACGAGAGAUGAAACCAAAGACCUCAAACCAUAUAGCUUGGUAUUCACAUUCUCAAGCAUGGCCAGACAUUUUAAAAAGCCACCAUAAAAAAAGGCACUGAAUGUAUACUGUCAUUAAUGCAAACCCUCUUGACUCCCUACUACAGGAUAUUGGAAAACUCUUUAUCCAAAAUUCCCCAAAGCUUUUUAACCAAGUAAGGUGCCAAGAAACAAAUGAAAUAUUGGAUUCACAGAAGAGGGCUAACUCUGCUAAAGGAACUCCUUGCUCAGCUGCUAAAGGCACAUCCCUCGCUGCUGGCAGAGCUGCCACUCAGAUGCUGGAUAACAACGCUGAAAACCAAGGGCUUUGUACUCAGGGUGCUUCACACCACCACUCACUUCUGGUGCUCUGACUGAGAGACUCCUCUGUCUGGCCUUCCACUGCCAGACGAUCCCAACACAAUCCCCAGAAGGCAUCUGUGGAAAACAUACAGCCUCCCUUGGGGUGAGCAGAGAAAGGCUCCUGCACAAGGGCAGCAAGCACAGAACUGAAACUGCACUGCGAGAGGAACCGACCCAGCAGUGGGAGCUCAGCUUAACAAUGCUUCUACAAAUCGAGGGGUGAAGAGCUAGAGGCAGAAGAGGCAGAUAUUAGACGACUGGGUCAACACAACAGCCAGAGAGCAGACAAUUUCCCUGUAAGAAAAAAACAAAAAAGAAAGAAGGAGAACUGUUUUGGAGGUAAGCUUUAGUAAUAUCUGGAUCCUGCACUUCAAAAAGAACAAAAUCCACCCAAAAAUUGCAAGCACAAGGAAUUUAUCCACCAGAUGAAUAGAAAGCAAGGGACUUAGCACACAUUAAGUCUUUUAAAUGAUUUAUCUUUAACCGAGGCUACCAAAGCCACAAUUGAAGCCAUUCAUUGACAACUAUCAGGAAGCUCCCACAUGAUGGGGACUCACUGACAUAUUAAAAAUGGUUACCAAACCAGAUAAGGAACAUCAGUUCUGCUUUUGCUCACAGCAGAUUGAUACAUUCACAAACAUAUACACAAAAAUCUGAACACAGUCACUGACAUCACUUCUAAACUCUGCUAUUCAACAUCCCAAACGUUACAUUUGGGAGCUGGGGGAGGAAGAAGCCUACAACUAGUCAGACUUAAUCAUAACAUCUGCUAACAACUCCCAGCCUUCGAUUUAAUCCCAGCAAGAAGUAACCUUUAAGAUGAACACCAAAAAAACCUACACUCUUUUCAGAAAAAAAAAAUCUUGAAAUAUUUAAUGUCAAGACUGAUAAAUUUACUCAAAAAGGUUGGGAUGUUUCAGUACCCACGUGAAGCAAUUGGAGCAAAUUGUAGAUUUACAGCACCUGGACAGAGCUGGAGGAUGCAGUAUUAGCAAUAAAUAGGAUGAAUCCAACGUGCUGCUUAAAAAUCAAGAAAGCUUCUGAUAUUAUUUAUGCCUUCAGAUUGUAAAGGUUCUGUGCCCCGCUGAUGCCUGUCUGCACACUGCCUCACUCACCAGCAACACACUGCAUGCUGGCCAGAUGUCGUGGUGAGCCCAGGUCCCCUCAGCCAACACAGAGCUUCGGAAUCACAGACUGGCUUGGGUUGGAUGGGACCCCAAUGAUCAAGUUCCAACCCCCCCGCCACAGGCAGGGCCACCAACCUCCACAUCUGGUAGUAGACCAGGAACUCAUCAAUAACCCCAGCCAAAUAUACGUGGGGCACUAUCAACUCAAGUAAUUAAGGGGCAGAAAGAAAUGAGGACACUAAAUUGAAAGCAAUGAUUGCCCAGGUGGGUUUGGGCCUUGCCUGCACUGGUCUCAUGCCAACAUUCAUCACAUGUUUCCCCCCCCCCCGCCCCCCCCAACCAGAAAAAAAAACUUCUCCACUUUAGAUUGUCCUUGGAGAAAGGGGAGGAAAUGAGCUUAAAAUUACAGAGGAAGGAAAGGUCUGCAGUCUGAGAACAGUUUUUUUUCCUCUUCUAUAAAAAACACACAAAGAAGAAAGUAUACUGUUCAAAAGUUUCCUAACAGCUUGAACUCCACAAGCUUCCUUUCACCCCACUGCAAAGGGACAUUCCUUUGACUGAAGCCUUUAGCAACAAAGCACCUCCACAAUCUGGUCAAACCUCCACUAGAAAUACAUCAGGACACACCGAGUAUGAAUUAAUGGUUUAAUGCGAAAAUCCAAUGCAGUCAUUUAGAUGGCAAUGCUUCCGUCUUAUCUUCAGCUGCUUCAGACGAGAUGAGGUCUCCUGCAGCCACCAUUAGGUUCCAGGUCAAACACCUUCAACCCACGCACAAUGCAAUGCCACCAGCACUUGGAAACCCACAGAGAAGGCCUAAUAAAGCUAGUCCAGAUUCAUCCCCACAAGAUGCCAGUUCCCACCCCCCCCUCCCCAUCACCACAUUAGAAUUUCAGUUUAAUUUUUGUUCGACAAUAUGCUUUACAGACUAAAACAUUACACUUAACAUUUGACACUAAUGUGUUCCAACAAAGUUGACGCAUUAAAAGGAUUACACAUUUACAGAUUACUGAGCAGGUUCCUCCUGGAUGCCUGCCCAAAAAUCCUGCAAACAUUCUGGCCCCAGGCUCCCUCGGUUACACCCAGCAUUCAUCUUGAUGGGUUAGUGUAAUCGGUUUGCAUGCCACAGGAUGAUCUAAAGCAAGCAAUCCGGCUGCCUUUUCCAGAGCCAAGCAAAGUUAAAGAACCUGAAUAAAUUAAAGAGGAGCUAAUUCUGCUCGGCUAAUUCUGCUCACAACGCGCUGCUGUUUAUACUGGUGCUUUGUCAAUUCAGUAAUCCAGCAAAACCAUAUAUGUGACUGUUAUCUUGUAUGUGCAAGCAAGAGAUUACUACGAGGAAAAGGAAUUUAAAUUGUCUGUAAUAACAAACCUUGAACACUCAGAGAGGGAAGAAAAAAGGAAAAAAAAUUACCAGAUAAAUUUGGGUGGCAAAACUGAAAUCAAGGUUUCGUGUUUGCUUAGCUUAUUUCUAAGCAAUAGAAAUUCACACGUUCCAAAGCCAAUUUAUUGCAGCAGAUUUCAGUAUGGAAAACACAGUGUGAGAAGUCAUGCAGUAGAAGGGGCUGCACAGAAGUCUCCGACUGAAAACUCUCUUAAAGACAGUUCUGAAUUACAUCUAUCUAUCUAUAUAUAUAUAAAACAAAUCUCACGGGGGAUUUCUGCAUUUCUAUACUUGCUGUUUGGAACUUCCAGUGUUAAUUUGAACUUCCACUUGCUUCAGGGGGUAAAAACAAGCAUUUUGAAAUAAGUCUUUAAUCACAUCAGGAUACCAUCACAUGUCCCACCAAAAAUAAGUGUUUCUUUCAAAGCCCAGUUUCGGGGGUGGCUGCAGGGAAAGUAUUGUUCUGUGUUAGUAAUGCAUCUGAGAAAGAUUGAUGAAAUAGUUAAACCCAUACACACCCUUCCUGCCUCUCUGGGAAAGGAAGAGUGCAUUUAUUUAUAUGUUCCAUUCAGAAACCUACAUUUGAAAGCUAUUUUAGGGCUGGAGAUUGAAACGUUCAAGUGGUAACAUGAAAGCAAUAUGGACAAAAUGGACUUCCCAGCCUGCUGUAUCUGCAUGGUACCACAGCCCUUAAAUUAAUGAUCAAAUGGUAUGCUUGCAGAAGAUUCAUGCCACAAUCGAUGCAAAGAGGAAUGGGAGCACUGGAGGACACACCACUGCACCUUACACCACCUAUGAGUUUUCUGCCUGCAGAAACAUAUUCUCGUAGGGCGCACCAAUGCACUUUCAGGUUCUGCUGCAUUUUAGAAAGCUCAUCCUUGGCAGACCUCAAGUUUUUGCCUUUCAGUUAAUUUUGUGAUCUUACUGGUUGAACUCUGACGUACGUUACUUAAAAAUACCAAAUUUCUAAAGGAGAUAGCAGGAAGAAAAAAUUUAAACCUCUGUGUUUGAUGAAAACAUCCCUACUGUGAAAAUGACUCCUCUGUACAAUCAGAUGCAGUGAACCUCUCUCUUUAAAUGCUGAAUAAAUAUUUCCUUCAGUGACUCAUUUAGUUAUCUUGCAAGAUCCAACCAAGUAACCAAGUGAUUUUCUUUUGGACCUUAAACAUGUGACAAAUUCCGAUUUGAUGAUCUAUGAGCCCUUGGUUCAUGAAGACACCCCAAAUCCCGCUUUCUUCGUUCAUUCCAUCACCAGCAUUUCACCACGUCCUUCAAUUUUCAGCACUCUGUACCGAGCAGAUUAAAAGAAGCCUUCUGAAGCCCAGCAGCUAAUCACCUGCUUGUACUAUUGAUCAGCGACUUUUAUGACCAAUUACAGCUGAAUGAGAAAACCACAGUAAUGUAACACCUACAAGCUACAUUUAGACUUCUGCAAGCAGACACCUCCCACCCCUUUCCAGCAGUUAAUGUUCCCCCAUUCUAGCCAGGCAGUUUGAACAGCUGUGCAAUGCACCAGACAGAGAGCAACAGAUUUGUCUGGGAAAAGGAUGUGUUUCUAGAGAUUCUGACAUUUCCUUCCAAAAGCUGAUCAGUGCCCUGAUAUGAGACAGCCUGUGCCAAUUCAGUACAGAAUGCUGCCACACAGCUCAGAGCAAACAGCCAGCACUGACCAGGGACCACCCAUCCAUCCCCUUCUUUCCUUCCAAAGACAAAACGAAUAUACAGUCCUAACUACAGGAGCCUGUUGAUCAGAGGCUGGCUAAUAAACUUCAAGACUUCAGGGCAUUCAACAUCUGUGGGGGAUUUUUGUUUGGUUGGGUUUGUUAUCUUGCUUCCUAGUAGUCCCAAGAAGUUACAAGCAGAGACUUGAAUGGCUGCAUUACCCACCGCUGUCUGAGGACAGAAAGCUUUUAAGUGUGCAGUGUUCAGUUGCUACCUUUACACCAACAACAUAAAAAACCCACAAAAACUGCAGGUAGAAAAAGGGAUGACAAACACUUAAAUAACUUCCAUGAAGUACAAAAAAAACCACAAGUGCCAUCACCUCCUCCAAAGCAGCUUUUCAUAGAUACCACAAUGAGAACCCUAUAUAUGUUUUUUAAAAGCUGCAAAAAAAAAAAAAAAGCAUUUGCAUUUCCUAAAAUAUACAGUCCUUCUUCAUAUAGUCUCAGAAAACAGCCAACAUAUCUGCAUUCCAAUUCCCAGCAAUGUUGAAGUCUAAGCACAGAUUUGUCAAAUUGGUACCCAAAAGAUAAGGCUGUAGGAGGGUCCACUUAGAAUGCCCCUAUUUACAGACCCUUGAUGGCAGCAGCUGUCUUAUACCUGGGCAUCAUCUAUUUGAAAUCAAGCAGUUUAUCAAUGAGGAAUGAACUGCAAGCAUUAUUUUCUUGAAUUAGUAAGCCUAACAAAAUGUGGAAAGGCACACUUGUCAGACACAGAUGACAAAACAUGAAAAUCACAACAGAAUUCAAUCAACCGUCUGUCAGAAAAAGUAUCACUUCACAUACCACUCGUCCCUCCAAUAAUGACCAAACAAAUGUUGGUUUAUGUAUACACAGCAGGUAGGAAGCCACCGUUCAAUAUUAACGUACAACUGCAGCAGUGACUGCAAACAGCAGGCUCUGAUGAUUUAACAAACCAUUAAAUAAUUAAAGCUAAGCGUCCACAGGAGGAAAGGCACUGGAGUGCUCCGCUAGAAUAUUUGUUCCUACAGGUUCUUGUAAA